UACGAAGGGGGCGAGCGUUGUUCGGAUUUACUGGGCGUAAAGGGCGCGCAGGCGGCGAUCUUUUGUCAGGCGUGAAAGCCCCGGGCUCAACCUGGGAACUGCGUUUUGGGGACGGGAUUGCUAGAGAUCGGGAGAGGAGAGUGGAAUUCCCAGUGUAGAGGUGAAAUUCGUAGAUAUUGGGAAGAACACCAGUGGCGAAGGCGGCUCUCUGGACCGAUACUGACGCUGAGGAGCGAAAGCGUGGGGAGCGAACAGG
rnacentral:rRNA from 1 species